GAUGAACGCUGGCGGCGUGCCUAAUACAUGCAAGUCGAGCGAAUGGAUUAAGAGCUUGCUCUUAUGAAGUUAGCGGCGGACGGGUGAGUAACACGUGGGUAACCUGCCCAUAAGACUGGGAUAACUCCGGGAAACCGGGGCUAAUACCGGAUAACAUUCUGAACCGCAUGGUUCGAAAUUGAAAGGCGGCUUCGGCUGUCACUUAUGGAUGGACCCGGGUCGCAUUAGCUAGUUGGUGAGGUAACGGCUCACCAAGGCAACGAUGCGUAGCCGACCUGAGAGGGUGAUCGGCCACACUGGGACUGAGACACGGCCCAGACUCCUACGGGAGGCAGCAGUAGGGAAUCUUCCGCAAUGGACGAAAGUCUGACGGAGCAACGCCGCGUGAGUGAUGAAGGCUUUCGGGUCGUAAAACUCUGUUGUUAGGGAAGAACAAGUGCUAGUUGAAUAAGCUGGCACCUUGACGGUACCUAACCAGAAAGCCACGGCUAACUACGUGCCAGCAGCCGCAGUAA
rnacentral:rRNA from 1 species